ACGAACGCUGGCGGCGUGCUUAACACAUGCAAGUCGCACGGAAAGGCCCUGCUUUUGUGGGGUGCUCGAGUGGCGAACGGGUGAGUAACACGUGAGUAACCUGCCCUUGACUUUGGGAUAACUUCAGGAAACUGGGGCUAAUACCGGAUAGGAGCUCCUGCUGCAUGGUGGGGGUUGGAAAGUUUCGGCGGUUGGGGAUGGACUCGCGGCCUAUCAGCUUGUUGGUGGGGUAGUGGCUUACCAAGGCUUUGACGGGUAGCCGGCCUGAGAGGGUGACCGGCCACAUUGGGACUGAGAUACGGCCCAGACUCCUACGGGAGGCAGCAGUGGGGAAUAUUGCACAAUGGGCGGAAGCCUGAUGCAGCAACGCCGCGUGCGGGAUGACGGCCUUCGGGUUGUAAACCGCUUUCGCCUGUGACGAAGCGUGAGUGACGGUAAUGGGUAAAGAAGCACCGGCUAACUACGUG
rnacentral:rRNA from 1 species